CACGUAGGGCGCAAGCGUUGUCCGGAAUUAUUGGGCGUAAAGAGCUCGUAGGCGGUCUGUUGCGUCCGCUGUGAAAACUCGGGGCUUAACCCCGAGCCUGCAGUGGAUACGGGCAGACUAGAGGUAGGUAGGGGAGAAUGGAAUUCCCGGUGUAGCGGUGAAAUGCGCAGAUAUCGGGAGGAACACCGGUGGCGAAUGGGAGUCUCUGGGGCUUGCCUGACGCUGAGGAGCGAGAGAGUGGGGAGCGAACAGG
rnacentral:rRNA from 1 species